rnacentral:rRNA from 1 species
CCUGACGCAGCGACGCCGCGUGAGUGAUGAAGGCCUUCGGGUUGUAAAGCUCUGUCGAGGGGGACGAAUUCUGACGGUACCCCUCAAGAAAGUGCCGGCUAACCCUGUGCCAGCAGCCGCGGUAAUACAGGGGGCACUAGCGUUGCUCGGAAUCACUGGGCGUAAAGCGUACGCAGGCGGAUGAUUAAGUCGUGGGUGAAAGCCUGGAGCUCAACUCCAGAAGUGCCCUCGAUACUGGUCAUCUUGAGUACGGGAGAGGUGAGUGGAAUUCCUGGUGUAGAGGUGAAAUUCGUAGAUAUCAGGAGGAACACCGGUGGCGAAAGCGGCUCACUGGCCCGAUACUGACGCUCAUGUACGAAAGCGUGGGGAGCAAACAGGAUUAGAUACCCUGGUAGUCCACGCUGUAAACGAUGAGUGCUAGCUGCUGGAGAUCCUUUUUUUCUUCGGUGGCGUAGCUAACGCGUUAAGCACUCCGCCUGGGGAGUACGGUCGCAAGACUAAAACUCAAAGGAAUUGACGG